UGGAAUGAUGGUGACCUAAACCCUCACCAGAGUAACAAUUGGAGGGCAAGUCUGGUGCCAGCAGCCGCGGUAAUUCCAGCUCCAAUAGCGUAUAUUAAACUUGUUGCAGUUAAAAAGCUCGUAGUUGAAUUUCUGCGUUAUCGAGUUAUUGACUCUUGUCUUUAAUCGAUUUCGCUUUUGGGAUUUAUCCCUUUUUACUUUGAGAAAAUUAGAGUGUUUCAAGCAGACUUUUGUCUUGAAUACUUCAGCAUGGAAUAAUAGAGUAGGACUUUGGUUCUAUUUUGUUGGUUUUUGAACCUUAGUAAUGGUUAAUAGGAACGGUUGGGGGCAUUCGUAUUUAACUGUCAGAGGUGAAAUUCUUAGAUUUGUUAAAGACGAACUACUGCGAAAGCAUUUGCCAAGGACGUUUCCAUUAAUCAAGAACGAAAGUUAGGGGAUCGAAGACGAUCAGAUACCGUCGUAGUCCUAACCAUAAACUA
rnacentral:rRNA from 1 species